rnacentral:rRNA from 1 species
AUGGAGUCGCUUCUUCUUCUUCUCGCAGGCUCUCUCAUCUUCCCUCUUGUGGCUCCUGCCAGGGAGAUCACCAACGCCUGCACCUCACAAGCUAAUGAUUUUCAGCACAUGAAUGGCACCGGCAUGCACCUGACGCUGCACCACCCGCAGAGCCCCUGCUCGCCGGCGCCUCUGCCGUCGGACCUCCCCUUCUCCGCCGUGAUCGCCCACGACGAGGCGCGCAUCGCCCGCCUCGCCUCGCGCCUCGCCAAGACUCCCUCCCGCCACCCGACGUCGCUCCGCCAACAGCACCGCGAGAAGUCCUCCGGCGAUAACCACCUCGCCGACUCGCUGGCCAGCUCGGUGCCGCUCGCGCCCGGCGCGUCGGUGGGCGUGGGAAACUACGUCACCCAGCUGGGCCUCGGCACGCCGGCGACCUCCUACGCCAUGGUCGUCGACACGGGGUCGUCGCUCACGUGGCUCCAGUGCUCCCCCUGCGUGGUGUCGUGCCACCGGCAGGCCGGCCCGCUCUACAACCCGCGCACGUCCAGCACGUACGCCGCGGUGCCGUGCUCGGCGCCGCAGUGCGGGGAGCUGCAGGCCGCCACGCUCAACCCGUCCGCGUGCUCCGCCUCCGGCGUCUGCAUCUACCAGGCCACCUACGGCGACAGCUCCUUCUCCCUCGGGUACCUCAGCAGGGACACCGUCUCCUUCGGCUCCGGCAGGUUCCCCGGCUUCUACUACGGGUGCGGCCAGGACAACGAGGGCCUCUUCGGCCGGUCGGCCGGGCUCAUCGGCCUCGCGCGGAACAAGCUGUCGCUGCUCUACCAGCUCGCGCCGAGCCUCGGCGGCUCUUUCUCCUACUGCCUGCCGACAUCGGCGUCGACCGGGUACCUGUCCUUCGGGUCGUACAGCCCGGGACAGUACUCGUACACGCCCAUGGUGUCCAGCUCGCUCGACGCCUCGCUCUACUUCGUCAGCCUCGCCAGCAUGUCCGUCGCCGGGAGCCCGCUCACGGUGUCGCCGUCGGAGUAUGGAAGCCUGCCGACGAUCAUCGACUCCGGCACGGUGAUCACGCGCCUGCCCACGGCCGUGUACACGGCGCUGAGCAAGGCGCUAGGCGCAGCCAUGGGCGGAGCGCCCCGCGCGCCGGCGUACUCCAUCCUGGACACGUGCUUCAAGGGCCAGGCGUCAACGCUGCGCGUGCCGGCCAUGGACAUGACGUUCCCCGGAGGCGCGACGCUCAAGCUGGCGCCGGGCAACGUGCUGAUCGACGUGGACGAGUCCACGACGUGCCUCGCGUUCGCGGCCACCGACAGCACGGCGAUCAUCGGGAACACGCAGCAGCAGACGUUCAGCGUCGUCUACGACGUCGCGCAGUCCAGGAUCGGCUUCGCGGCCGGCGGCUGCAGCUGA